GUUUGAUCUGUUUAUCUCCUUGCAUAUAUAUAUACAUAUAUACAUAUACACAAAAAAUACAUAUAGAUACAUACAUAUUAAAAAAACUAGAUAUUAAUGGCUAUCACUUAAACACCUUUUAAAUUUUUUUCAUACAUUUGACAGAAAUCUGUUUUUAUAUUAUUGAUUGAGAAAACAAUUUGUCAAUUUCCUCUCCAAAUAAUCAAUCUUGUGAUACAAUAACAAUUUAAAAUUUCUUGUUGCCCUUAUUUCAGGGCAAGAUAUUCUAGCUCAUAGAUCAGUAUCUUGUGAUCAACUUACUUCAUGUUUACCAUUCCCUAACUCCUUGUUAAUAUUCAGGCAAUAAUAACAUUUUAUCUUUUUGAAAGUAAACUUUUUAAUGUGAUUAGUGACAUCUUGUUCAAAGAAGUUUGAAAAGAGAAAAUAAAGGGUUGUGUUGCAUAACAAGAUGCCACCUCAAGAGUGAUAUCACGGUGAUGUAUGACUAGUGCUACCUCGGCCAGUGUUUGAGUUUGGAUACAAUGCAUGUAGUAUAAAUUCAUGAAUUUUCAAGAACAGACAGUAACAGUUUAGUAUCUCUUGUUAGAUAUUUUGAUGUCUUGUCUUGAAAUGUACUGACUUGUGCCUCCUCAUAUUCUACAGGGGAAAACAAGGUUCUGAUUUGAUUCCAUCAUUUAUACAGCAUGUCAUGUGACCAGCUCUUCCUUCAUGAAGUUUGGCAUGAACUAUUGAACAGAUCAUCUGAACUUUCAAACAGGUGUAAAUUAAAGUCUGCCAGAUUUUCUGUGAAAGAACAAAAGUGAAGAUUCCUCCACAGUGUGCAUAAACUGUGGAGUCAUUAAAUUGUGGAUGUAUGUUUUUUCUCUUCCCAAGCCUGUAGAACAUUGUAAAUUUAAUAAUGCAAUUAGUAGAUAGUAGAUGUAAAAAGUGGCACCAUUGCGCAGCCUUAUUAUAGUCUCCCUCUCCCUGUGUAUACAGAUUAUAAUAGCCUUUGCUAAAUCUGUCUAGUUGAAGUAUUUGAUGCUUGUUGUCCCCAUCCUCUUCUAUCUUGACACAUAAAAAUAGAAAAUAGGCUUCUGUAUAAUUUCCUAUGUUACCAUUGAUAAUUGAACUAUUUGUACAGGAAAGAAAAGAACUUUGUAAAUAAUUUGUUUUUACAUAUUUUGCUUUCCACCCAAUUGUACUCUUUUUCUAAUUCCCAACAACUUCACUAAACUAUCAGGAAAUUCAGUAGUUUUAAAAUUUUAUAUAUAUAUGUAUAAUUCAAGAUCAAAGAAAAAUCAAUGGCUGACAACAGUGUGAUGACUAAGCUGCAAGUGUAAAAACUCAACAAAGUUUUAUUUUUUGUUUUAAAUUUUGUUUAUCAUUUUCAUUACAUUUUUCACUACAUUUUAAGUUUUAACUUUUGCAUCAGCCACCAAAACAUUCAUGCAUUUCAACUUGUACAUAAAUAAUUGUGUAUUCUUAUAUUUAUGUAUAUUUUUAAGUAACAAGAAAGUAUUUCCUGUAUGCAGUACAUCCUUUACAAAAAUACUUUAUAUAAAGUAGAUUUUGCAUGCAUAUGUUCAUGCAUAAUUUAUAUUGGCAUCAUGAGAGCUGGAAUGAAAAACAAAUAAGCUCAGUAUUCUGAUAUAAUGUGGCACAGUGCAAUGAAGUGUCCACAUUAAAUGAAUUAUAAAUUAUACUAUUAAUUAAAAAAAUUAGAUGCAAUUUUUCAAAUCUGUUCAAAUCAAACAUACUAUAAAACAUAUGCAUGAAACAUGUUUUAUUUUUCUAUGACAUGUAAAUUAUGAUUAAACAAAAACAAAUUAUUCCUGAAAAAUGAUUUUAAAAAAGAAAAUUUUAUCAUUUAACUGAAAAGAAUUAUCUAUUCAAAUUAAUUUUUUUUUGUAUUAGAAUAUAUAGUAUGUGUAUAUACAUGCUACAUAUUCUUAUUAUAUCAGAGAAUAUAUGAUCAGAGUAUUAGUAUAUAAUAUUUGAUAAUCUUAUUUAAAAUGCUGUAUACCAAAGCUGAAAUUUUUCCUUUCUCUUUUAUAAUUCAGCUCAACAGUUUUGGAAAAUACUACAUUAACUGUGCAGUGUAUCACACUUUAAAAAAGAAUUGUCUGCUGUUUAUACUAUGCUGAAUUCAUUGUAAAUAAUUCCUUCCUUCUGUUUGAGUCAUGAGUUUUUACCAACUACCUCGUUGCGUUCCUGCUUUCUCUCUCUCCUCGAAUUCUCUAUCCUUAUAGCUUAGUAUAUUCAGGGGUAACUCAUAUAGAAAACUGAGUAGCAUUCUUUUGUACACGUGUUCUUGCAAAUGGAUGUUAGCAAAAAAAAAAAACAUAAAAGUGUUCGAGCCUUUGGUAUUUGUACAGCAGUGUGUACAGUGUGUGAUCCCUGUGUCUUUAUCCCUUCUUGUGACUUUUUUUGGGAGAAAAGUAAAAAAAAAAUUUGGAACAGAUUGUUUUGUCAUUUCUUUCUUACAGUAUAUUUUUUUUUAAUUAUGAAAUUUAGAAGCACC
rnacentral:lncRNA from 1 species